UACGUAGGGGGCAAGCGUUGUCCGGAAUCAUUGGGCGUAAAGAGCGUGUAGGCGGCCCGAUAAGUCCGCUGUGAAAGUCCAGGGCUCAACCCUGGAAUGCCGGUGGAUACUGUCGAGCUAGAGUACGGAAGAGGCGAGUGGAAUUCCCGGUGUAGCGGUGAAAUGCGCAGAUAUCGGGAGGAACACCAAUUGCGAAGGCAGCUCGCUGGGACGUCACUGACGCUGAGACGCGAAAGCGUGGGGAGCAAACAGG
rnacentral:rRNA from 1 species